rnacentral:lncRNA from 10 species
GCCUGCUCCAGCCAUGCAGGGAGACCAGCACAGACCCAUCAGUGAAGCCUGUUCUCAACAAACGCUUGUAAAUGACUCACUCCUACUGGGGUCUAGAGGACGAUGGAUCCCAGAUCAAGUUGCUUGUUGCCUCAUUUGUCAAGUUCUGCCUGUACAUCGGCUGUUCUUCCUUACGAUAAAUCUGAAGAUCAGAAACACGGCGGAACAACAAGCACGCAGGACAAGUCCAUCCUGCCCAUAACACCCUAGAGCAGGCUCAAAGCAGGAAAACAGCAUGAGUCACAUUCAGCAACAGACACACGGGGAACCCUGCUCUCCCCUCUACCCUGAGGAGAAACAACAACACCUUCCCUGCCUGGGGAAACUCCUACU